UACGUAGGGUGCAAGCGUUGUCCGGAAUUAUUGGGCGUAAAGAGCUCGUAGGCGGUUUGUCGCGUCUGCUGUGAAAAUCCAGGGCUUAACCCUGGACCUGCAGUGGGUACGGGCAGACUGGAGUGCGGUAGGGGAGACUGGAAUUCCUGGUGUAGCGGUGAAAUGCGCAGAUAUCAGGAGGAACACCGGUGGCGAAGGCGGGUCUCUGGGCCGUAACUGACGCUGAGGAGCGAAAGCAUGGGGAGCGAACAGG
rnacentral:rRNA from 1 species